rnacentral:rRNA from 1 species
UACAGAGGGUGCGAGCGUUAAUCGGAUUUACUGGGCGUAAAGGGCUCGUAGGUGGCCAACUAAGUCAGACGUGAAAUCCCUCGGCUUAACCGGGGAACUGCGUCUGAUACUGGAUGGCUUGAGUUCGGGAGAGGGAUGCGGAAUUCCAGGUGUAGCGGUGAAAUGCGUAGAUAUCAGGAGGAACACCAAUAGCGAAGGCAGCUCGCUGGGACGGUACUGACGCUAAGGCGCGAAAGCGUGGGGAGCGAACAGG